rnacentral:rRNA from 1 species
CAGCAGUGGGGAAUCUUAGACAAUGGGCGCAAGCCUGAUCUAGCCAUGCCGCGUGUGUGAUGAAGGUCUUAGGAUCGUAAAGCACUUUCGCCAGGGAUGAUAAUGACAGUACCUGGUAAAGAAACCCCGGCUAACUCCGUGCCAGCAGCCGCGGUAAUACGGAGGGGGUUAGCGUUGUUCGGAAUUACUGGGCGUAAAGCGUACGUAGGCGGAUCAGAAAGUUGGGGGUGAAAUCCCGGGGCUCAACCCCGGAACUGCCUCCAAAACUCCUGGUCUUGAGUUCGAGAGAGGUGAGUGGAAUUCCAAGUGUAGAGGUGAAAUUCGUAGAUAUUUGGAGGAACACCAGUGGCGAAGGCGGCUCACUGGCUCGAUACUGACGCUGAGGUACGAAAGUGUGGGGAGCAAACAGGAUUAGAUACCCUGGUAGUCCACACCGUAAACGAUGAAUGCCAGUCGUCGGGCAGUAUACUGUUCGGUGACACACCUAACGGAUUAAGCAUUCCGCCUGGGGAGUACGGUCGCAAGAUUAAAACUCA